UACAGAGGGGGCAAGCGUUGUUCGGAAUUACUGGGCGUAAAGCGUGCGCAGGCGGUAAGUUAAGUCUGAUGUGAAAGCCCCGGGCUCAACCUGGGAAUGGCAUUGGAAACUGGCUUGCUGGAGUGUGGCAGAGGGGGGUGGAAUUCCGCGUGUAGCAGUGAAAUGCGUAGAGAUGCGGAGGAACACCGAUGGCGAAGGCAGCCCCCUGGGCCAACACUGACGCUCAGGCACGAAAGCGUGGGGAGCAAACAGG
rnacentral:rRNA from 1 species